UACGUAGGGUGCAAGCGUUGUCCGGAAUUAUUGGGCGUAAAGAGCUUGUAGGCGGUUUGUCGCGUCUGCUGUGAAAUUUCGGGGCUCAACCCCGAACUUGCAGUGGGUACGGGCAGACUAGAGUGUGGUAGGGGAGACUGGAAUUCCUGGUGUAGCGGUGAAAUGCGUAGAUAUCUGGAGGAAUACCGGUGGCGAAGGCGGCAUCCUGGACCGGCAUUCGACGCUGAUGAGCGAAAGCUAGGGGAGCAAACGGGG
rnacentral:rRNA from 1 species